UACGGAGGGUGCGAGCGUUGUCCGGAAUCACUGGGCGUAAAGGGCGCGUAGGUGGCACGGGUAGUCGUCGGUGAAAGCUCAGGGCUCAACCCUGAGUCGGCCGGUGAUACUCCCGAGCUCGAGUGUGGUAGAGGCCAAUGGAAUUCCGGGUGUAGCGGUGGAAUGCGUAGAGAUCCGGAAGAACACCGGUGGCGAAGGCGGUUGGACUGGGCCACAACUGACACUGAUGCGCGACAGCGGUGGGAGCAAACAGG
rnacentral:rRNA from 1 species